GAUGAACGCUGGCGGCGUGCUUAACACAUGCAAGUCGAACGGGAAACUUUUCAUUGAAGCUUCGGCAGAUUUGGUCUGCUUCUAGUGGCGGACGGGUGAGUAACGCGUGGGUAAUCUGCCUUAUUCAGGGGGCUAACAACAAGACCUGGUUGCUAAUACCGCAUAAGCGCACAGGACCGCAUGGUCCGGUGUGAAAAACUCCGGUGGUAUAAGAUGGACCCGCGUUGGAUUAGCUAGUUGGCAGUGUAACGGCCUACCAAGGCGACGAUCCAUAGCCGGCCUGAGAGGGUGCACGGCCACAAUGGGACUGAGACACAGCCCAGACUCCUACGGAAGGCAGCAGUGGAGAACAUUGCACAAUGGGGGAAACCCUGAUGCAGCGGCGCCGCGUGAAGGAAGAAGUAGCUCGUUAUGUAAACUCCUAUCAGCAGGGAAGUUAGUGACGGUACCUGACAAAGAAGCCCCGGCUAACUACGUG
rnacentral:rRNA from 1 species